rnacentral:rRNA from 1 species
CCUACGGGAGGCUGCAGUAGGGAAUUUUGCGCAAUGGGCGAAAGCCUGACGCAGCAACGCCGCGUGAGCGAGACGCCCUUCGGGGUGUAAAGUUCUGUCAGUUGGGACGAAAAAUGACGGUACCCACAGAGGAAGCACCGGCUAACUCCGUGCCAGCAGCCGCGGUAAUACGGAGGGUGCAAGCGUUGUCCGGAAUCAUUGGGCGUAAAGAGGUCGUAGGCGGCAUGUAAAGUCAGGUGGUAAAGGCGCAGGGUCAACCUGUGUAUGGCACUUGAUACUUGCGAGCUGGAAUGCGGUAGAGGUAAAGGGAAUUCCUGGUGUAGCGGUGAAAUGCUUAGAUAUCAGGAGGAACUCCGAUUGCGAAGGCAGCAUACCGGCGCUCAACUGACGCUCAUGCACGAAAGUGUGGGUAUCGAACAGGAUUAGAUACCCUUGUAGUC